rnacentral:piRNA from 1 species
UUUGACCCUCGUGUCUGUGGAAAGCAUGCU